rnacentral:rRNA from 1 species
GACGAACGCUGGCGGCGUGCUUAACACAUGCAAGUCGAACGGAAAGGCCCUGCUUGCAGGGUGCUCGAGUGGCGAACGGGUGAGUAACACGUGGGUGAUCUGCCCCUUACUUUGGGAUAAGCCUGGGAAACUGGGUCUAAUACUGGAUAGGACCAUGCUGUAGGUGGUGUGGUGGAAAGAUUAGUUUCGGUAAGGGAUGAGCUCGCGGCCUAUCAGCUUGUUGGUGGGGUAAUGGCCUACCAAGGCGUCGACGGGAAGCCGGCCUGAGAGGGUGGACGGCCACAUUGGGACUGAGAUACGGCCCAGAAUCCUACGGGAGGCAGCAGUGGGGAAUAUUGCACAAUGGGCGCAAGCCUGAUGCAGCGACGCCGCGUGGGGGAUGACGGCCUUCGGGUUGUAAACUCCUUUCAGCCAUGACGAAGCCCUUGUGGUGACGGUAGUGGUAGAAGAAGCACCGGCUAACUACGUG